rnacentral:rRNA from 1 species
UACGGGGGGGGCAAGCGUUGUUCGGAAUUACUGGGCGUAAAGGGCUCGUAGGUGGCCAACUAAGUCAGACGUGAAAUCCCUCAGCUUAACUGGGGAACUGCGUCUGAUACUGGAUGGCUUGAGUUUGGGAGAGGGAUGCGGAAUUCCAGGUGUAGCGGUGAAAUGCGUAGAUAUCUGGAGGAACACCGGUGGCGAAGGCGGCAUCCUGGACCAACACUGACACUGAUGAGCGAAAGCCAGGGGAGCAAACGAG